CGUCACAUCUGGCGAAAAAUUUGAUAAUUUAAUGUCCUUGGGCGAGGUCGUGACCUGCGGGCUCUGUAGCGCCCCCUAAUGUUCAGCCCCGCCUCCCACAAGUGCCUAGAAGAACGAAAAUCAAUACGCUGGUUCCUCAUGACCAGACGCACAAAAAAUGCUCUUGGAGCGAUACCGUCACUCCAACAGGAAGUCAGCAAUUUAGAUGUGUGGCGGCGUUUUUGUCCAAUUCAUGCCUACUUUGACAACGAACUUGUCCUAGAGCUUAAACACGACAGUCUUCACAGAGAACAAAAGUUAUUAAAAUCUUUCAGCUGCGAGAUACUUUAGUGGGCGGGGCGACGGAAACCAUUUUUUUCCCUCGCGGUCAACCAUCGAGGCUUUAUAACUUCAACAUACAAUUUCCUAUCCACACCAAACUUCUCAUAAGUGUAGAGGCUGUCUCCCUGAACACAUCUCAGCAUCAAUACUAAGUCGGCCAUUUUGAUUUUGGCCGCCAUGUUGAAAUAGUGCCAAUCUUCGGACUUAAAUUAACUCCUCCUACAGAUGUAACGCCACCGACUUCAAAGUCACUCAGUAGCAUCCUCUGACCUUGAAGAUGAAAGGUUAUCAAAAUCUUUAUCCUACGUCAUACCUGCUGGCCACAGUGGAGCGGUCAAUUCGAAUCCUUCGCCGUAAAGCAUCGUUUCCUCAUAACUUCUUCAUAUAAUGUCUUAUCUCGGCCAAAUCUCUCAGGAAUGCAGAGGGAGUCGCCCUGAUGAGAUAUGUGUGGUCAUGAGGCGUGGCCGUGACGCGUGGGCUCUGUAGCGCCACCUAUUGUGAUGCCCCGCCUCCUACAUGUAACAUAGAAGGACGAAAAUUUGUACGCAGAUUCCUCAUGACUGGACGCACAAAAAACCCAUUUGGACCCCUGGUGUCAGUCCAACAGGAAGUCAGCCAUGUAGAUGUGUGGCGCCGUUUUUGUCCAAAUCAUGCCUACUUUGACAACGAACUUGUCCUAGAGCUUAAACACCACUGUCUUUAAAUUAACUCAGUCAUUUUCUUCAUGCCUUGAAGAACAAAAGUUAUUAAAAUCUUUCAGCUGCGACAUACUUUAGUGGGCGGGGCAGUGGAAACCAUUUUUUGCCCUCGCGGUCAAACAUCAAGGCUUUAUAACUUCAACAUACAAUUUCCUAUCCACACCAAACUGCUUGUAACUGUAGAGGCUGUCUCCCCGAACAAAUCUCAGUAUCAAUACUUAGUCUGCCAUUUGCUGUGGCCGCCAUUUUGAAUUAUGCCAGUCUUUGUACUUAAAUUAUCUCCUC
rnacentral:lncRNA from 1 species